rnacentral:rRNA from 1 species
UACUAGAGUAGCACUCGCAUAUCAAUAAGCGGAGGAAAAGAAACUAACAAGGAUUCCCCUAGUAACGGCGAGUGAAGCGGGAAGAGCUCAAAUUUGAAAUCUUAAAGGGUUUCCCUUUACGAAUUGUAGUUUAAAGAAGUGUUUUCUGUUGAGGUUUUGGUAAAAGUUCUUUGGAAUAGGACAUCAUAGAGGGUGAGAAUCCCGUAUUUGACCUUUACUUUCAACUUUGUGAUACACUUUCAAAGAGUCGGAUUGUUUGGGAAUGCAGUCCAAAAUGGGUGGUAAAUUUCAUCUAAAGCUAAAUAUUGGCGAGAGACCGAUAGCGAACAAGUACCGUGAGGGAAAGAUGAAAAGAGCUUUGAAAAGAGAGUUAAACAGUACGUGAAAUUGUCAAAAGGGAAGCGUUUGACACCAGUGUUGUUUUUCUGAAAAUCAAUUAAAGAACUGUUUAUGCUAAGUUGUUUAGACUUUAUCAGCUAUCUGUUUAGUUUUGAGCUUUUCUUUAAUGCACUUUUCAGUUAACAAGUCAACAUCAAUUUCUUUUGCUGUAAAAAAGCUUGAGGAAGGUGGCUUGAGAUUCGUCUUAAGUGUUUAUAGCCUCCUGCCUAUGCAGUCGGAGAGAUUGAGGUCUGCAGCGUAGAUCCUUCGGGGCUAAAUGCAUUUGUGCUAAGUUAUAGCAUUUUAUAGACAACUUGUCGACUAUGAUUUGUCUUGUAGCUUACUCGCUUAUGUUAUUUUACCUACGCUUAGGAUGUUGAGCGCAUGUCUCUCUCU